rnacentral:tRNA from 1 species
UAGUAAGUUAUAGAGUCAGGGGAUAGGGGCGGAUGUAGCCAAGUGGAUCAAGGCAGUGGAUUGUGA